rnacentral:lncRNA from 1 species
AUCGGUCCCUGAGGACUCCACAAUCUCCAGUUGCUCUCUAAUCACCUACCUCAACUGUCUUCGAUCUUUGGACUAAAGUAUAAAGUGGACUUGAGUAAAUUCAUCUUUUGCUCAGAUGCCCUAUAAUACUCUUCCAAAAUCCUCUUGAAGUUGGUUGCAUUUUGAGUAGUCGUUCGGCCCACCAAAAUAUAAUCAUCUACAAAAAGGAGAUGCAAAAUCAGUCUAGCUCAAGGGGCAGACUUGUAUAGAUCCAAAGCUUGCUCCAUGAUAGCUACUUGCAAGGCCUUAGAUAAAAAAUCAGUGCAG